UACGAAGGACCCGAGCGUUAUCCGGAUUUAUUGGGUUUAAAGGGUGCGUAGGCGGACAUGCAAGUCAGUGGUGAAAUCUCCCUGCUUAACAGGGAAACUGCCAUUGAAACUAUGUGUCUUGAGUACAUUUGAGGCGGGCGGAAUGUGUCAUGUAGAGGUGAAAUUCUUAGAUAUGACACAGAACACCGAUUGCGAAGGCAGCUCACUAAAGUGUAACUGACGCUGAGGCACGAAAGCGUGGGGAUCAAACAGG
rnacentral:rRNA from 1 species